CUGGGGAGCGGGGUCCUGGGCCCUGGCCUCGUGUCCACCUCCCUGGCCCUGCCCGUCCAGCAGCAGAUGGGCAGCCCCUCUCCACUCCUAUCCCGCUCACUUCUAACAUGUCAGCUAGAAAAAUGGCAGAGUUCCAGGCUUACUCCGUCAUGGUGCAGCUGGAAGGCCACCUCUGGGAUGGACGGGGAUGGAGAGCACGUGUUCACGGCACCCUCACCUGCCAGGGCCAGGAGGAGUCCAGAAGCUUCUCUGUGGGGGGCCCCCAGGAGCUGGGAGCUCUGUCUGCACUUUCCCAGGAGAGGGCAGCCUCUGGAGAGAACGGAGCCCAGGGGGGCAGCGCCGUCCUUGGAGAUGCCAAGCCCCUGCUGGUGCACCUGGCAGGGGUGGGAGGUCAGCGGGGUUUAGCAGGCACCAAGCACCCCCUGUGCAAGGCCCUGGCUGUUGCGUGCCCCACGCGGUCUCAUUUUGCUCUCCAGCCACCGGGUGAGGUGAGGAUGAUUUGCCUCCUUCUAAAGUGCAGGGGACUGAGUUCUGGCGCGUGGGUUUGUCCGAGUCAAAUCUCUUGCCAUGCUUAUCUUCCAGGGGAUGACCCAGCCGACUGCGACUGCGUGGGGCAGGGGCUGGCCUCUCCCAUCACUCCUGUCCUUCAUGGGUCACCGGCCAUGACAGCACCAUGACGCAGGGCCCCUGGCACGUGGUGGGCACGCCAAUGUCUUUUGGAUGAGUGACUCCCAGGGACCAGGAGUUGUGGGCGCUGGACCCAGCCCUUGCCCAGUGCUCUGGCCCCCCAGCCUCAGUGGCACCCGCUGAGGGCCUGGCAUCUGGUGUUGGCUUCCAACUGGGCCACUUCCAGCUCGUUACCAUUAACGUUUGGGGACACCCAGCAUAGGGCAGAUGCCAUUAGCAAAGCAAAUUCCGUUCUGUCAGGAAGCAAAGCUAACAGAGCACAAAGCAGGUUAGGAGGGGAAGAUUGAUGAGCCAAAGCCCCUGGAAAACAAAUGAGGGAAGUUUUCUUUACCAGAUAACUUUUAUUUAUUACACUUGCUUUUGGUUAAAGACACAGACACCCUGCUGGUCUCUGGACCCAGGGCUGGAGAGAUGCGCUGCUGGGACUGGGAAGGUCAGCGGGUGCUGGGAUGGGUGCGUUUACAAGCCUCUGGGGAAAGGGUCACCCCUGGGGCUCAGCUCUGGGCUUCCAUAGAGCUGCCCAGAGGCCAAGAGCCGCUCUUAGACCUGAGCAGGCCUCUCUGGGCCGCGGUUUCCUCCUCUGUGAACCUUUGCCUGUGGGAUUUGUUAAGACUCCAGACUCCAUGAAGAGGAAAUAUGAAUUGCACCUCAACCUUCCCCCAGAGCAGACACACCUCUCAGCUAGAUCCCUGGGCACGCUCUCAGCAUCUUCCUUCAACCCUCCACCCCGACCUGAGCACCCCCCAAGGCCAGGCCGGCCCCUGGAAGCCCUGGGACAGUCAACAAAUCUUCCUCCCAAUUUCAUAGAUUCAGGGCCAACGACAAGAUGCCUGCUCAAUGCGAAAGGCAUAAAAUGUUCAGAUUUAUUGCUUUGAGAGUUUGGUCUGUCUCCUGGGCCUGGUUGACGCAGCUUCCUUCAGGUUUCAGAGCAUUUUGUUUAAUAAAAAAAAAAAGAAUUUUGA